GAUGAACGCUGGCGGCGUGCCUAAUACAUGCAAGUCGAGCGAACGGACGAGAAUCUUGCUUCUCUGAUGUUAGCGGCGGACGGGUGAGUAACACGUGGAUAACCUACCUAUAAGACUGGGAUAACUUCGGGAAACCGGAGCUUAUACCGGAUAAUAUUUUGAACCGCAUGGUUCAAAAGUGAAAGACGGUCGUGCUGUCACUUAUAGAUGGAUCCGCGCUGCAUUAGCUAGUUGGUAAGGUAACGGCUUACCAAGGCAACGAUGCAUAGCCGACCUGAGAGGGUGAUCGGCCGCACGGGAAGGGGGACGCGGUCCCGACUCCUACGGGAGGCAGCAGUCGGGUAUCUGCCGCAAUGGGCGAGAGCCUGACGGAGCAACCGCGCGUGAGUGAUGACGGUCUUCGGAUCGUAAAGCUCUGUUACUAGGGGAGAACAGAUGUGUAAGUAACUGUGGACAUCUUGACGGUACCUAAUCAGAAAGCCACGGCUAACUACGUG
rnacentral:rRNA from 1 species